CUAUAGCCGCAGGAGGGCGGCCGAUGCGCUUGGAGGUGUUUUUGCUCUUUGUUGUUGUUGUUGCCGCGCGUCCGUUGUUCUUUUUUUUUGCUUCUUUGUUCUUUUUUUUUCCGCCGGUGCCGGUUGCGGUCCUCGAUGGCUCGGCGGCCCGCUGUCUCUCUCUUUUUUUUGUCCUGGGGUUUCCUUUUUUUUUCCUCACGCAAAGAAAGAGGCGUCGGCUGCGGGCUCCUU
rnacentral:lncRNA from 1 species